GGCCCCGGGAAGGGCAGAAGCCCCAAGCUGUGCCCAACUGGGCAGAGGGAUCCUCCUCCUGUUCAUCACUGAUUAUGAAAAAUAUGAGCACCCACUAACCCAACGGUGACAGAUGAAGAAGGGGGAGACUAUACUGAACAGCAGUGCAGUCGUUGGGAUUGAGAAGUUGCCGUGCAGGAAAAAUCUCCAGUCCAGCCUCUUCCUCCACAAGAAAGCAGAAUCUGAAGUAGUUAUCUGAAAAUUCGAUUAGGAAAAAGGAAGUAUAAAAGAAGAGAACAGUAACUGAGACUCCCUCUGUCUAAAUGCAGAGGGGCUCUGAGCAGCGAGGGGGAAGGCACAGGUUGUAAUCUGAGGGCCUCAAAAAACUUGGGCCACUUUCUGGUUACAGCAGCACAGGGGCAAUUUCUCUUCUCUUGUGCUGGGUACUAAUUUUCUGGCAUAUACAUGGGCCAGCAAGGAAUGAAAGCAGAGCAAUGCUAAAACUCUGAAGGAAGAGGAGCAGGAGAACGAAUUAAGAUGCAGUCGAGGAAUUAGAUUUGCUGAAGUUUAAAGAACAGACCUGUGAACAGAUCUAGAAGUUAAUCAUGGAUUAACACUGCUGGGAUUGAGGGAGUCAGCUAAGGCUCAGUGAAGCUUGUACUGGGUAAUGUUUCCAGGCAUUAUCUCACGAAAGAUGGGCAUUGUCAUGGAAAAUGGAAGCAAAGACUACAAUUAUUUGCAUUGAAGCAGCAUGACUAAUCUGCAGGUUUUGCUGAUCUGGGGUAGGACUGGCAAUGUUAAAAACGAUUUGUGUGCAUUUCCAGAUCACAUGGAUUGUUUCCAGCUGCAUCUAAAAAUCAUGUGGUGUCACCCUCCAUGUUCUUGCACAAUUAAGCAAAGGGACUGGCUUCCCUUGAGAGAGGAGUUUUGUAUAUUGUAAAGGAUUGUAUAAGUGGGAAGGAAGCUGGUACUGCAGUCAUUUCACCUACAUAUGUGACUCUCUUUUCCAAAAGCUGUAGAGCCAUAAAUCUAUAAUAAAUUUUUAAAUGGAUUCUUCUGGAACAUGAUUUUUACCAAUUAUUAACUAUGUUUUUUUGAUGAAUCUAACAAGAUUGUAAAUGUUUUUCUAUUGAAUAUAGUUUGUAAAUACUAGUUAAAUAAAUUAAAAGAAGUAGUGAUUUAGUUGAA